UACGUAGGGUGCGAGCGUUAAUCGGAAUUACUGGGCGUAAAGCGUGCGCAGGCGGUGAGCUGUGUCCGAUGUGAAAGCCCCGGGCUUAACCUGGGAAUGGCAUUGGAAACUGGCUCGCUGGAGUGUGGCAGAGGGGGGUGGAAUUCCGCGUGUAGCAGUGAAAUGCGUAGAGAUGCGGAGGAACACCGAUGGCGAAGGCAGCCCCCUGGGCUAACACUGACGCUCAGGCACGAAGGCGUGGGGAGCAAACAGG
rnacentral:rRNA from 1 species